CCAGUUCAUGGGGGCUACUCAGAGUGGGCAGAGUGGGGUCGUUGCAGUGUGUCAUGUGGUGUUGGGUCCCAGAAGAGGCUGAGACAGUGUAAUAAUCCUCUACCUGCCAAUGGAGGACGUCACUGUGCAGGAUCAGACACAGAGACACAUAGUUGUCAGGGAAAGCCCUGUCCAGUGGAUGGGAACUGGUCAGAGUGGUCUCUCUGGGAGGAGUGUUCUCGUACUUGUGGUCAGGGCAACAGAACCAGGGUCCGGACCUGCAGUAACCCUCCAGCUCAGCAUGGAGGCAGGCCUUGUGAGGGGAAGGCAGUGGAGGUCAUCAUGUGCAGUGUCAGACCUUGUCCAGUGGCGGGUAACUGGGGGUCUUGGCUACCAUGGAGCCCAUGCAGUGAGACCUGUGGUAAGGGCAUGCAGUCCAGAAUCCGCCUGUGCAACAACCCCCCUCCAGCAUUUGAUGGGCCACAGUGUGAGGGCACUGACACCCAAACACAAGUGUGCAAGGAGAGACCUUGUCCUGUGGAUGGGAAGUGGUCCUCCUGGGUGAGCUGGGGAGCCUGCAGUGUUUCAUGUGGAGGCGGGACCAGACAGAGGACACGCCUCUGUGCCAGCCCCGCCCCUCAGCAUGGUGGCAGGCAGUGUGAAGGCAACGACGUGCACAUUGACUUCUGUAACAG
rnacentral:lncRNA from 1 species